rnacentral:lncRNA from 1 species
GUAAAAUAACUAAAAAAUUUGUAUAAAUAUUAAAAAAUAUAUAGACAUGGAGAUUCAAAAUAAUCUGAAAGAUUUUAAACAAUAGUCAGUUAAUUUGUCAAUAUAAAAAACUACGUCAGUUUAUACUACACAAAUUAAUUCUCAAUUAAUUGUAUUUAUCUAUUCGUUAAGAAUUAAUCAUAUGCUCAUUCUAUUAAGCAAUAUCAAAAAACAUUAUCAAAUAAAAAAAAUAAACAUAUAUUUCAACCUUUCAUCCGUUAUCUUAUCUUACAAUUAUUUGCCGAUAAAAUUAGUGAAGCAUUAACUUAGUAAUUGCUUUAAUUUUACUUGACAUUUGAUCCAAGGUAAUUGCUAGUUUGCUUCAAUCGUGAAGAUCUUAAUGUAGGUGUCAAAAAAGUAUUAGAGCAUCUGGAUGGCAGCGAUCAUUGGUAGUUAACAAACAGAAAACGUAUAAACGUGAAAUAGCAAUAGGAUUAACGGCUGUGACGCGAGAUUCUUUCUUUUCGAACGACAGGCGGUAGAUGUUAAGAGAGAUGCAUUCACAAAACGCGUUAAACCGACUGUAUGAGCCACAAGGGAGUGACAGACGAAAAAAACUAGAGCUACCCGAUGGCGGUUUAAAUAGCUUAGAGAUAUUUUAUUCUCUUAAUAUGGUGAUAAUACACGGUGAUAAUAAACUACUCUUGCGACUCCAUCUCACGUUUCCUAAUAUAUUCAUAGAAUUUUUUGAAUUCCUUAUUUGUUAAGCUGCUGGAGAGCUUAUUAGAACACUUUGUCUGUUUUUGCGAUUAAUUCACAAUUACAUUUCGCAACUACUUAUAGCAACAUGUUAUAAAGCAAAAAUUAUAUUAAAUUAACAAAUUUUCUAUUUUUUUCUUAAUUGUGUCAGUUUCAUCAUCUAUACGUAAUGAUAAUAAAUUAUUGCAAGAAAUUGUAUGUAUAUUUCCCGGAUUGUAAGAUAAAAUUUAAAGUAGUUCAUAAAAUUAAGAUUUAAAAACUUAUUAUUCUGCGUGUAAUGCCUACGUACUUGUGUAAUGAUAAAUUAUGUGUUUUAUUAUUACAAUUUCAGAUUAAAAAUCCAAAGCUAAUUUUAAACAUAUAAAAAAAAAACAUUGUCACUUUCUUGAUCGAUGUCCUUACUAUUGUCAUUGUGUGUUUGACAUAAUAAAGUGUGCGAGAUUCAUUUUUUUCUUAAUUAAAAAACUUAAAUGUAAUUUGAGAAAUAUUAUUUAAUGAUGGCAUUAAAUAAAAACCUGCAAGCUUUGAUAUAAGUCUGCACUCGGGCCGCUUUGUCACUUGGGAAGGCUGAGAAAUAAGAGGUUUCGAGAUACACUGGGAUCUAUCGGCUGACACCCAAUACGUCCAUUAUUAUUCCUAAUGUGACGGAACAAUUAGCCGCCCACGGGACAAUUGACAGCGAUGCCGGUGACUGAACUGGAGCAUAUUGCGAGGUGCAUCAAACAAAAUGAGCCGUUUUUCCGCCAGUGGUCAUUAAGCUAGUCAGCUGAACUGUGGAUCGUCCAAUAGGAAAAGAAGAAACAAACAUGCUAGAAAUUAGGCACAUUAAUCUUCUCGUUUUAAUAAAAUAGUUCCACAUCUAUUGAUAAAGUAAUUCGGUAAUGAAAAUAUUGCACUAAAAAAAUUUUCAGAAACUUUAUGUUAGAGAGUAAAAAUGUACUAUAUAUUAAUACUUCAAUUAAAUCAUUUUUUUCAUUCUAAGAGACUAUCAAUAAUGUGAUUGUUACAGAUGAGAAAUAAAAGAAAUGAAAGAAAAAGUACUUUUCUUGUUUCUUUGUAAGACCAUUUAGGGGCACAGUAAUAUUCUGUUUCCUUUGCUUGGGAUUAUUAAACAUACAUUUCUCAAGAUUUUUUUUACGUUCUGCCUAUAACUGCCUAUAAAUAUGUAUUUUCGCGACUUAAAACGCGGAAAGUAUGAAAGGUAACGGGGAAGAAAAAAUAUAUAUUUGCUCGAAAAAUUAAAAUAAAAGACACCGGCGAUGGCACCUAACUACCGAUUCCAGGAUGUUUUGAAGAUUGCUUCGUAUCAAUUGCGGAUUAACGAUAAUAACAAAGCGGAAGGAAUGACACGAUGACGCCAAUUAUGAUGCGACGAGGACGGCGAGCGUGCGUGAAAAAUCGGCGACGGAACGCCCGGCCGUGCUCGCUCCCGUGCAUUAUAAAUUCCGAUUGUUUAAUGUACGCCGCUCGCAUUCGCGCUCGCCGUCGCGAAACCAGAUCCGGAAAAGAUAUAACAGGUUUAUCUGGCAUGACUCGUAGGACGGGGCCCUCAAACGGGGAUAAUAAGGCGAGCGCGUUCGGCCGCUCGGCGUGCAUCCGCGUGCGUGUGCGUGUGCGUGAACAGGUGCGCUUCAUUUAGCAUUUACCGCGUCAGAAUAGGCGAGAUUCUUCGUUGGCGCCGCGAGAUUCUUUCCGCGGGAUACAAUUAUCCUUAUAAUGGAUAUUGAUUUAUGCCGCAAUGCUCUUACUCGCGAAAAGAGAGAGGGGACAAGAGGAUCACGGUAGCAAGGAUGAGUGAUGAGCGUAAAAAAUCUAGCAUGUAAAAUCUAAAACUUGUAUUCUUUUAACACGUAUUAGCAAUAAUUCUCGGAAAUUCUUAAUUUUGAAGAACAGUGUAUUAUACUAUACUCUUCAAAUUUUUUGAUAAACUAAUUAAAAAAUUCAUAUUUAAUAUUUUUAUAUUUAACAUUUAUUUUCUUCUCCUCAUUUUAAAGUACGCGCCGGGUCCGGUACCAAUCGAGCGAGCUCUCGGAAUAGUUUGCGGAUGCAAACAGUAACGGCUCUGAGUCGAUACCCUUCGGGAUAAACGUCCGUACUCGGUGUGCACGAAAAUUACAGGUAGAUGCUGCGGUUCGAGCGCAAUCGCUAAUUGCACCGCACAACGGGUGUUAAACCGGCCCGUACGUACCACGCUUCUUUGAUUCUUGACGGAACAAUAAUAACCCGUCGCGUCGAUCCCAUUUAACAAGCUUUAAGACCCCGUUUGUUCGCAUUACUUCAGUUCACUUCGACUUAAUUGAACAUUUUGUUACAACGAAUGACAACCCACCGACUCAGCGUCAGUUCGAUUCAGUUCGACACCUCCUCGCAUGUCGCAUUUACUAAUAUAAUACAUAUAUAUGCUGAAUGUGAAAGCUGUCAAACGUGAGAAGCGAUUUAUACAUUUUCUUUAUCUUUUGGUUUUAUUAAUUAUGGAUAUUAGCGAAGACUUCAAUUUCGAUGUUGAUUUCGCGAUUUGGGUGAUCGUAUUACGGAGAUCGUAUACAAUAUUUCGUUCGAUGGGGAUUAAAAUUGUCACGUACUCAGUGUUAAAAUUCGGAAUGUGAAUAUACUCGAUCUCAGAUCGAAUUGCAUGAUGCGAAACAAUUUUAUUGUAGCAAUGGCAAGUUUUAAAUCAUGAUCCAACCCCCAAAAUCAAUGAAAUUUUGUUUAGCAUUGAUUUAUAUCGGUGCUACGCAUUUUUUUCUAAUUAUAUAAAAAAACUAAAAUAUAAAAUACAUUAUCAUUACAACAAAAAUACGAAAAAAUUUUCAAAUUAUUCUAAAAAUAAUAAAAAUUUGUGAAGAGCGCUUGAAUAAAUCAAUAUUCAGAACACUUAUAUAACGUUUUGUCUUUAAUAUCCUAAAUGUUUGUCCCAAAUACUUGUUCUUAAUCAAAACUAUGUAACGUCCAUAAAAUAAAAAAUCUGCAAAAAAUUAUCUUGACAUGUACAUGUUUCUUAAAAAAUUUUAAUUAUACAAAUGAAUUUUUUUCGCGUUAACUUUUAUAACAUUUAACUGAUCUACGUUAUAAAUUAUACAAUAUUUUAAGAUUUUACAAUUAAAUUUUAUACGCUACAAAAACAUACAUUUAAGAUUAUUAAUAAUAAUAAGUUUAAGUGUCUAGAUAACAGACACAUGUACGGUCACUGGAACGCUUAUCUUAAUUUUCCAAAUUAAAAAGCAUAUACGCCUUUUAAAUAUCACACAUCUCUAGACAUUAAAUUUCUCGAGGUAUUGCCGGCCGCCCGUUAGGUUCUCCACGGCACUUUGACGAACGUCUGUCGCUCGUACCGCGGUGCAAGUAAGCGACCAAGGCGACGGCGGUCCCAGACAGACAGACAGAAGCACCGAGGCACCUGUCCCUCCACUCUGGAGUACGUACUGCGAGGAGGGGCCCGGACGGGCACUGGAUAUACCCCGUUCCGCGAUUCAGUACCCCGCGCACGCUCACGCUGAUAAGACCUUAUUCUAAUCACCUGUCCAGCUGAUAGAGAGAGCAGAGCGCCCGCGCCGUGUGUCGUCGCUUAGCGCGCGCGAGGAAGACACCCGCGCGAUCACGCGCGGGACGAAGACGAAUUGUUCACGCGCGUGCACGCGAUCAGUUGCCCCGUGACGUUUCCCGUGUUGUACCGAUCCUCCCCGAUCUCCCACACUUUGUGCGCGCUCGUCGCAUGCCCUCGGCAUCAUUUUCGCGAUAGUCGCGCGCCGCUCCUCCCGGAAGCGCCAUGUAGACGAUGAUGAGCAGGUGCCAAGCACAUCGGCGCCGCGGGCGACGUCGAGUUGCGUUAUUACGUCGCUGCGCGUGAAACAGCAGGUUUACAUGUCGAUCUUCGACAGACUUCCAAGUAAUACAGAAGUCAGAUAAUGGCUUCUUUUAUAGCAUAAUUAAAAUUGUGUAAGGAGACCAUAGUUUCUUUGUCAUUGCCUUUCUCAGAGCUUGUUACUAGAAAGUAUAGAACACAUAUGUUACAUGAAACGUAUAUUUUCUUUCUUUUAAAUCGCAAAUCGUUCAUAGAGGUAAAUUUGUGUAUGUUUUAAACAUAAUUUGCUGUUUACUCUUCAAUACUUAUUACAAUUUUAAUAACAAUUUCAAUAUAAACUCUUAUCAAAUUCAAUAUUUUCAUUUAAUAUCGAAUCUCUGUUAUGUAGAUAUAUACAUGUUAAGAAAAAUAAUACAAAUAAUUGAACCACAUAUAAUUAAAACUAAUAGAUAAUUUUCGUAUAUCUAAGUAAUCAUGUUCUGGCAAUGAUUGAUAAUCAGUUGACCAGAUGCACAAUUUAACAAAGUUAUUCAGUUUUUCAAUCAUUAAGUACAUAAUUUAAUGACGAGUAAAUAUGCUAAAAUAUCAAUUAAGAAUGAUAAUUAUUUUCUUCGUAUAAAGAUUCAAAUAAAAGUUUCAAAGAAUUUCAGAAAUCUCAUGAAAUUCAAUAUUAAAAAUUCAAGAUAUUCGAGAUAAAUUACAUUAAUAAUUAUUCAAGUUUACUAUCUUUUCUCUAUUUUCUCCAACAUCCUCAAAUUUGUUACACUUUCAUACAUGACACAAUUUUAAGAAAUUUAACUUUGACUAUCGCAAUCUCUAUUGGAUCGUUCCAUAGAGUGAAAAUGAUUUCGACGCUGAGAGUACGCGAAACCGCAAAGCUACCUAUGUGACAACAAUUCUUCCGUGAGAGAAUUCUUCCGUUGUGCACUCUACUGUGUCCGAAAGGAUUAAAAGUGGCCAGCAGAAACAUGAAUAAUUCGUGUCGUGUAUCGAUUUGUGUAGAACGAAUCGAUUUAUGCCUGACGAUCGGACAUUAAAAGGAUUUCAUGGAAAUUGGAUAAUUUAAUGGGUGCUAUGAAAUGAGAAAGAAGCAUCCCGCGUACCGUUUGACCCAGGCAACUUUCAAUUCCAAAUAAGAGAGAAUGGAAAAAAGAAGAUCCAGCCGAAGGAAAACGAGAUGUCACAAUCUGUACACGGCUAGCGACAGCAACAGUAGCAGUAUCUGAUCAUAGCGCAUGUAUGCCGAUUCGCAGGUGUUCGUGCACACGUCCUUCGCGGCCUUUGUCACCAAUCAUCCUUCUCUUCUCGCUAAUGAGUAGCCGUCGCUCUUUAUCACUUCUCUGUUCUGUGACCGCUACAGAAAGAGAAGAAGAGAGAGUACAACGAGAACAGUAUUCUCCGGUGCGACGGAUCCGGGAUAGACCAGGUGAACCGAAGGACGAUUCGUGGCUGAAGGGAGGAGAGCCGAAGGGACGAGGUUUACGCGAGAAGAGCGGAACGAAGAGGAACGAGGAAGAGAUGGACGAAUAGAAGAAAUCGAGGUAGAAGAGCCAAGAUAGGGAAGAAGAAGAAAAGGAACAUCAAGUGAGAGUGAGAGGAUAAGAAGCUCUUAAGAAGAAGAAGAAGUAGUAGAAGAAGAGGCUUAUCAGCUCGUAAGAGAAGAAAGAGAUGGUAGAGAGAAAAAGCUGCGGCGCGCACCAGUGGUAGUGACGGUGACCGAUGAUGGUGGUGGUGGUGGCGAUGAUUCUGUCGGUGGUGGUAACGUUGGUACGGUAGCAACUGCGGAGCGAGCCAACAUCCAGAUCUGUCGCGUGCUGCGUGCCGCUCAGGAAUGGGACGGAAGCCGGGACAUGCGAGUACGCCGCGAUACCGUGCGCAGCGGGACCUGGACGAGGACGAGGACGUGGCCCCGACCACGAUGUGGCGACAACAAUUUCGAUAAUGACGACGACAACGUAGUGACGACGGCUGAUAGCGACGGCUACUAUUAACAAGUCAGCUCUUUCGAGUUCCCGGAGCGCGGGAUGGGAUGGAUGCUGCUGCGGCGGUCCCGUGUGAGUAGAACGAGUCGCGUCGUCUGUCCCGUUGGUGUAGUGUUGGUGGUUUCACUCUUGGCCUCCGCCACCGCCGCCAAGCCGCCGUGGUGUGCGCUCGUGUGCCGCCGCCGCCGCCGCCGCUGCUGCCGCUGCCGCCGCCGCCGCCGCCGCCGCCGCGCCGGUUCGGUCUCUCUACGAGAGCGAAUCGAGGAGCGUGGCCCGAACUCGGCGAGUCGGGGAAGUGAACUGCGGCACUCGUUCAGUAGUUUCUCGGACGCCGCACCGGCACCAUCCGACGACCCUGCGAGAUAACCCCACGCGUGGCCGCGACCCCCCCCCCCCCCUGUGAGACAAUUACGACAAGUGCGUACGCGAAAUCUGGCCGCGUGAGAUCGCGCAGCUCCGGUCCGGUCUUUCCUCCGUCACGGCGUCAUUGACGAACGAUCCCGCAGUGUCUAUCCCGGAACCGAAGGGAUCGGCGGCGAAUCGAGGCUCGCCGUGAAGAUUUUUAGCAUUUUAUUCGAAACAUUCUUCUCGAAUCACGUGGGAAGGUGCGCGCCUGUCGUGCGCGACACGGCAAUCGGUUUUACAAAUCGGUUCUCGACUUUUCUUUCACCUUUGACUUUUCAUCGUCGCACAACUUCGCGGAAGCUCACAGUAGGAGUAUCCUACGAAGGGAGGUCCCAAUGUUUCUUCUUCGGAUAAUGAUAACCAGUGGUGAAGUAGUGAUAGUGCGUUACGUGGGGAUCUGUUCGUCGCGUCGAUCUUUCGCGGGAGGAUUCUCCUGUGCGUAAUCACGACCGCGAGAAGAGGGUACGCGCGUGAGAUAUAUCGAUAAGGCCAGCGAGACCGACAAAAGAGAGGGAAGAGAAAACGCGAGGUAAUGCACGUCAGCUCUCGCCGAUUAAUAAUCAGAAGGAG